rnacentral:ncRNA from 1 species
AUUGGGGUGCCUUUUGGGCUGAGAUUACACCCAUACUACCUGAUUUGGAUAAUGCCAACGAAGGGAUUGAU